AACGAACGCUGGCGGCAGGCUUAACACAUGCAAGUCGAACGCCCCGCAAGGGGAGUGGCAGACGGGUGAGUAACGCGUGGGAAUCUACCUUGAACUACGGGAUAGCUCCGGGAAACUGGAAUUAAUACCGUAUGUGGCCUGAGGGCGAAAGAUUUAUCGGUUCAAGAUGAGCCCGCGUUGGAUUAGCUAGUUGGUGGGGUAAAGGCCUACCAAGGCGACGAUCCAUAGCUGGUCUGAGAGGAUGACCAGCCACAUUGGGACUGAGACACGGCCCAAACUCCUACGGGAGGCAGCAGUGGGGAAUAUUGGACAAUGGGCGCAAGCCUGAUCCAGCCAUGCCGCGUGAGUGAUGAAGGUCUUAGGAUUGUAAAGCUCUUUCACCGGGGACGAUAAUGACGGUACCCGGAGAAGAAGCCCCGGCUAACUUCGUGCCAGCCGCCGCAGUAAAAC
rnacentral:rRNA from 1 species